UGUUAUAUUGUCAAAAAAUUCAUUACAAAGCCCUAAAAACACAGCAUUUCUCCCAUUCUCUUUUCCCCAUCGACUUCGCCUCUCCACGAUUUCCCCUGGCGCUUCAGUUCUCACUCUCUCUCUCUCCACCUUCCACGGCCGACCACAUGCGCCUUAGCUCACUCUCGUCUCUCUCUGGUUUCCACCGUCGACUGAUGGGGCCUCAGCCCUCACUCUCGUCUCUCUCCGCCUUCCACCGGAGCCGCUCACUCUCGUCGCUCGCCUCCCAGGACACAAAUCAUUCAUGUAUGUUGUCUAUGCACAUUUAUUUAUCAUUCAUUUGAGUUAUUUUUCCUGUUGUCAAUUUUGAGUCUGCAGAAAACUGGAAAGAAAUGCAUCUGAGGAAAAACCUAAUUGAACAAUGGAGUGUAGAUGCUUGGUGAGGGCAAUAAAGUCAUUUGCAAUUGCGUAGAUGGAGGCCAGGAAGUUCAAUACCCAAAAACUGGGACUAAAGCUUUGCUAAUGUGCAUUUUGGUUGAAGGGUAUCUUCAAAUUGUGCUUAUACAACUGGAAGGUGAAAUUAGCUCACAAUUGUGAUUAUAAUUAUGACAUAAUAUAUUCAGGUCAGAAUUUUUUGAAAGUGUUAUGUAGUCUAUUAUGACUAGAACAGUAGGUCACAAUUAUGAUUUUGUAUGUGGCCUAUAACAUUCUUCGUUCUCUGUACUGGUUUGGUAUAUCUACUGUUUAUUUGUGAUGUUGUUACUUGUAACAAGUGCUAUUUUUUGUGGUAAGUAUUAUUAUUUGUAACUUUCAUAAAUGUAUACUAUAUUCAAUUUGUGAUGUGAAUUAAUGGUACUAUGUUGUUAAACAAUGAUGGGCGUGUGCAUGUUAACCUGCUAUAUAGAGGUCACAUGUUAAUUUUAUUGGAGGAUUCUUAAAAGUAUAUUGAGCUAGUUGAUCUUGUUAUUUCAAAGUUGGGGAAUGGAUUAUGCAGAAGUUGCAAUUACAAUGUCAUGUCAUUGUGUGAAACGUCAAGAUCCUCAUUUCCUUACUAAUUACUGGGCAAUUAGGUAAGGCCCCAGUAAAGAGAGUUGGCCAUACCAACAUGGUAAUUUCUUGAUUCUGACUUAUAGUUAUGAAUAUUCAAUGUAUUGUUCUGUGAUUGAAAAUGUUAUACCAUUAUGAUCAGGUUUGACUUAUUAUGUGGGUUAAUUUUGAUGACAUCCUACAAUACCGCUGACUGUGACCUACUUUAAUUUCAUUCAAAAGCUAAGUUUGAGAUUUUCGUGUGGUUAAAAUGCAACUGGUAAUUAGUAAUUAGUUGUGCAUCCUGUGUAUCACUGGAUUAAUAAGGGUGGUUGAAUAAUUUUUGAUAUUUUCCAAUGAACAAUACACAUAAUUAAUUAUUGUUCAUCUAAUGACUUUUUCUUAAAGAUCUUUAGAGUCAAGAUGCCUUCUUUAAAUUUUAAACUUACGCUAUUUGUUCAGCGCCUCAAAUUUUAUAGUUUAGAUUUAAAACUCUAAAAGACAUUGUCUUGCUGAUGAAAAUUUCAAAAUCAAACAUACCAGACCUGGUAGGAGAACUGCCUAUGCCCCAGAACCUCCCCUUCCUUAAUACCAUCUUACUCCAUGAUUUCAAAUUUCUGAGUUUCACUAUGUGAAAGCAUUCUUUGUGUCAUCUUAUUAUGUUUGUCCAAUUUUCAGGGCUUAGGUUUAUGGCAAAUGCUGGGUAGGACACUAAUGGUUCACAAAUUUUCAUCUGUGACGACCAGUUGCAGGUUGGACGGUCGUCAUGUUGUAUUCGGAAAGGUGCUGCCCGGAAUAGAUGUGGUGUAUAAGAUAGAAGCCGAAUGCAACUAGAGUGGAACAACCAAAAGCAAAGUUGUGAUUGCAGACAGUGGUGAACUUCCCUUGUAAUCAGCUUGUACUUGAACUUGUCAGUUUUACCCUUCUACUCACUUCUACUUACUGCGGGUUAUGCAUCUUAAUUUACAUACCUGAAUUAUGUUAUUUAGGAAAAUGAAAUAGGUACCAAAAAAGUACACUUUUCAAUUUGGCACCUAAUAUUAUGAGUCCAUAAGGCAUGUAGAAUGUAUAUUAGGAAAGAAGAGAGGAAACAGAUGCGAUUUCUCUUACAUUGUUGAUAGAGAUCAUUAGGGGAUCAAUGUUAAUUUUCUA